UAAGCGACUAAGCGUACACGGUGGAUGCCCUGGCAGUCAGAGGCGAUGAAGGACGUGCUAAUCUGCGAUAAGCGUCGGUAAGGUGAUAUGAACCGUUAUAACCGGCGAUUUCCGAAUGGGGAAACCCAGUGUGAUUCGUCACACUAUCAUUAACUGAAUCCAUAGGUUAAUGAGGCGAACCGGGGGAACUGAAACAUCUAAGUACCCCGAGGAAAAGAAAUCAACCGAGAUUCCCCCAGUAGCGGCGAGCGAACGGGGAGCAGCCCAGAGCCUGAAUCAGUGUGUGUGUUAGUGGAAGCGUCUGGAAAGGCGCGCGAUACAGGGUGACAGCCCCGUACACAAAAAUGCACAUGCUGUGAGCUCGAUGAGUAGGGCGGGACACGUGGUAUCCUGUCUGAAUAUGGGGGGACCAUCCUCCAAGGCUAAAUACUCCUGACUGACCGAUAGUGAACCAGUACCGUGAGGGAAAGGCGAAAAGAACCCCGGCGAGGGGAGUGAAAAAGAACCUGAAACCGUGUACGUACAAGCAGUGGGAGCACAGAGCAAUCUGUGUGACUGCGUACCUUUUGUAUAAUGGGUCAGCGACUUAUAUUCUGUAGCAAGGUUAACCGAAUAGGGGAGCCGAAGGGAAACCGAGUCUUAACUGGGCGUUAAGUUGCAGGGUAUAGACCCGAAACCCGGUGAUCUAGCCAUGGGCAGGUUGAAGGUUGGGUAACACUAACUGGAGGACCGAACCGACUAAUGUUGAAAAAUUAGCGGAUGACUUGUGGCUGGGGGUGAAAGGCCAAUCAAACCGGGAGAUAGCUGGUUCUCCCCGAAAGCUAUUUAGGUAGCGCCUCGUGAAUUCAUCUCCGGGGGUAGAGCACUGUUUCGGCAAGGGGGUCAUCCCGACUUACCAACCCGAUGCAAACUGCGAAUACCGGAGAAUGUUAUCACGGGAGACACACGGCGGGUGCUAACGUCCGUCGUGAAGAGGGAAACAACCCAGACCGCCAGCUAAGGUCCCAAAGUCAUGGUUAAGUGGGAAACGAUGUGGGAAGGCCCAGACAGCCAGGAUGUUGGCUUAGAAGCAGCCAUCAUUUAAAGAAAGCGUAAUAGCUCACUGGUCGAGUCGGCCUGCGCGGAAGAUGUAACGGGGCUAAACCAUGCACCGAAGCUGCGGCAGCGACGCUGAUGCGUUGUUGGGUAGGGGAGCGUUCUGUAAGCCUGCGAAGGUGUGCUGUGAGGCAUGCUGGAGGUAUCAGAAGUGCGAAUGCUGACAUAAGUAACGAUAAAGCGGGUGAAAAGCCCGCUCGCCGGAAGACCAAGGGUUCCUGUCCAACGUUAAUCGGGGCAGGGUGAGUCGACCCCUAAGGCGAGGCCGAAAGGCGUAGUCGAUGGGAAACAGGUUAAUAUUCCUGUACUUGGUGUUACUGCGAAGGGGGGACGGAGAAGGCUAUGUUGGCCGGGCGACGGUUGUCCCGGUUUAAGCGUGUAGGCUGGUUUUCCAGGCAAAUCCGGAAAAUCAAGGCUGAGGCGUGAUGACGAGGCACUACGGUGCUGAAGCAACAAAUGCCCUGCUUCCAGGAAAAGCCUCUAAGCAUCAGGUAACAUCAAAUCGUACCCCAAACCGACACAGGUGGUCAGGUAGAGAAUACCAAGGCGCUUGAGAGAACUCGGGUGAAGGAACUAGGCAAAAUGGUGCCGUAACUUCGGGAGAAGGCACGCUGAUAUGUAGGUGAAGUCCCUCGCGGAUGGAGCUGAAAUCAGUCGAAGAUACCAGCUGGCUGCAACUGUUUAUUAAAAACACAGCACUGUGCAAACACGAAAGUGGACGUAUACGGUGUGACGCCUGCCCGGUGCCGGAAGGUUAAUUGAUGGGGUCAGCGCAAGCGAAGCUCUUGAUCGAAGCCCCGGUAAACGGCGGCCGUAACUAUAACGGUCCUAAGGUAGCGAAAUUCCUUGUCGGGUAAGUUCCGACCUGCACGAAUGGCGUAAUGAUGGCCAGGCUGUCUCCACCCGAGACUCAGUGAAAUUGAACUCGCUGUGAAGAUGCAGUGUACCCGCGGCAAGACGGAAAGACCCCGUGAACCUUUACUAUAGCUUGACACUGAACAUUGAGCCUUGAUGUGUAGGAUAGGUGGGAGGCUUUGAAGUGUGGACGCCAGUCUGCAUGGAGCCGGCCUUGAAAUACCACCCUUUAAUGUUUGAUGUUCUAACGUUGACCCGUAAUCCGGGUUGCGGACAGUGUCUGGUGGGUAGUUUGACUGGGGCGGUCUCCUCCUAAAGAGUAACGGAGGAGCACGAAGGUUGGCUAAUCCUGGUCGGACAUCAGGAGGUUAGUGCAAUGGCAUAAGCCAGCUUGACUGCGAGCGUGACGGCGCGAGCAGGUGCGAAAGCAGGUCAUAGUGAUCCGGUGGUUCUGAAUGGAAGGGCCAUCGCUCAACGGAUAAAAGGUACUCCGGGGAUAACAGGCUGAUACCGCCCAAGAGUUCAUAUCGACGGCGGUGUUUGGCACCUCGAUGUCGGCUCAUCACAUCCUGGGGCUGAAGUAGGUCCCAAGGGUAUGGCUGUUCGCCAUUUAAAGUGGUACGCGAGCUGGGUUUAGAACGUCGUGAGACAGUUCGGUCCCUAUCUGCCGUGGGCGCUGGAGAACUGAGGGGGGCUGCUCCUAGUACGAGAGGACCGGAGUGGACGCAUCACUGGUGUUCGGGUUGUCAUGCCAAUGGCACUGCCCGGUAGCUAAAUGCGGAAGAGAUAAGUGCUGAAAGCAUCUAAGCACGAAACUUGCCCCGAGAUGAGUUCUCCCUGACUCCUUGAGAGUCCUGAAGGAACGUUGAAGACGACGACGUUGAUAGGCCGGGUGUGUAAGCGCAGCGAUGCGUUGAGCUAACCGGUACUAAUGAACCGUGAGGCUUAACCU
rnacentral:rRNA from 2 species